rnacentral:rRNA from 1 species
AUUGAGCGCUGGCGGAAUGCUUUACACAUGCAAGUCGAACGGCAGCACGGACUUCGGUCUGGUGGCGAGUGGCGAACGGGUGAGUAAUACAUCGGAACGUGCCCAGUCGUGGGGGAUAACGUAGCGAAAGCUACGCUAAUACCGCAUACGAUCUAAGGAUGAAAGCGGGGGAUCGCAAGACCUCGCGCGAUUGGAGCGGCCGAUGGCAGAUUAGGUAGUUGGUGGGGUAAAGGCUCACCAAGCCGACGAUCUGUAGCUGGUCUGAGAGGACGACCAGACACACUGGGACUGGGAAACGGCCCAGACUCCUACGGGAGGCAGCAGUGGGGAAUUUUGGACAAUGGGCGCAAGCCUGAUCCAGCCAUUCCGCGUGCAGGAUGAAGGCCCUCGGGUUGUAAACUGCUUUUGUACGGAACGAAAAGGCUCUGGUUAAUACCUGGGGCUCAUGACGGUACCGUAAGAAUAAGCACCGGCUAACUACGUGCCAGCCGCCGCCGUAA